UACGUAGGGUGCGAGCGUUAAUCGGAAUUACUGGGCGUAAAGCGUGCGCAGGCGGUUUUGUAAGCCAGAUGUGAAAUCCCCGGGCUUAACCUGGGAAUGGCAUUUGGGACUGCAAGGCUCGAGUGCGGCAGAGGAGACUGGAAUUCCCGGUGUAGCGGUGAAAUGCGUAGAUAUCGGGAGGAACAUCAGUGGCGAAGGCGGCCUUCUGGUCCAGUACUGACACUCAAGUGCGAAAGCGUGGGGAGCAAACAGG
rnacentral:rRNA from 1 species